rnacentral:rRNA from 1 species
UACGUAGGGGGCAAGCGUUGUCCGGAUUUAUUGGGCAUAAAGAGCGUGUAGGCGGCCAGACAGGUCUGCUGUGAAAACUCGAGGCUCAACCUCGAGACGCCGGUGGAAACCGUCUGGCUAGAGUCCGGAAGAGGAGAGUGGAAUUCCUGGUGUAGCGGUGAAAUGCGCAGAUAUCAGGAGGAACACCGGUGGCGAAGGCGGGUCUCUGGGCAGUAACUGACGCUGAGGAGCGAAAGCGUGGGGAGCAAACAGG